AGGAGUGUAGCUCAAUUGGUAGAGUAUCGGUCUCCAAAACCGACGGUUGGGGGUUCGAGACCCUUCACUCCUG
rnacentral:tRNA from 1 species